AUUACCGCGGCUGCUGGCACGAAGUUAGCCGGGGCUUAUUCUUGCGGUACCGUCAUUAUCUUCCCGCACAAAAGAGCUUUACAACCCUAGGGCCUUCAUCACUCACGCGGCAUGGCUGGAUCAGGCUUGCGCCCAUUGUCCAAUAUUCCCCACUGCUGCCUCCCGUAGG
rnacentral:rRNA from 3 species